UACGGAGGGUGCAAGCGUUAUCCGGAUUCACUGGGUUUAAAGGGUGCGUAGGCGGCUUAUUAAGUCAGUGGUGAAAGCCUGCAGCUUAACUGCAGAACUGCCAUUGAUACUGAUGAGCUUGAAUAUACUUGAGGUGGGCGGAACGUGUCAUGUAGCGGUGAAAUGCUUAGAUAUGACACAGAACACCGAUUGCGAAGGCAGCUCGCUAAAGUAUGAUUGACGCUGAGGCACGAAAGCGUGGGGAGCAAACAGGA
rnacentral:rRNA from 1 species